GCUAGACGGCUAGCUCAGUCGGUAGAGCACGAGACUCUUAAUCUCGGGGUUGUGAUAUCGUGCGCCACGUUUGGCG